UACAUGUGGGGCAAGCGUUGUUCGGAAUUACUGGGCAUAAAGGGUGCGUAGGUGGCUUGUUAAGUCAGGGGUUGAAAGUUUUCGGCCCAACCGGAAAAUGGCCUUUGAUACUGGCGAGCUCGAGUGCGGUGAGGGGUAACCGGAACGAGCAGUGUAGCGGUGAAAUGCGUAGAUAUUGCUCGGAAGGCCAACGGCGAAGGCAGGUUACUGGUACGCAACUGACACUGAGGCACGGAAAGCGUGGGGAGCAAACAGG
rnacentral:rRNA from 1 species